UUAUGUGGAAAUUCCAAGGAUGUCAAAUGAAAAUUUUGAAACUGAAGAACAAAGUAAAUAUUUCCUCGUGGCAGUGAUUCUUCUUCAGCCCUUUGAAUUCAGAAGGAUGGCAUAGAAAUCUCAGAAACAUUCUAAAUCCUGGAUAUAUAUCAGAAUCACCUGGGAACUUUAUAAACAUGCCAAUACCCACGGGCUCUCCAAGACCAAUAAAAUGAGAAUCUGGUGAAAUCUGUUGGAAAUCCUAUUGUGAGAGAGGGAUUAAAAGGGAGCAUGUUUGUUUUGUCUUCUUUGAGACCUGCACUGAAUUUAUUGAAUAUUCUGGUCUUUUCCUCUCCAGCCACUAUCUCCUUCAUUAGACCAUAAGGUAUGUCCUUUUUGAAAAGUAAUGGAGUCCAGUCAACUGAACUUCAUUGAUCUGCAAGGACUGCUGAAAAUUUAAAAACUUGCUAUGGGAUUCUGACAUGCCAGAAGCCACUAGAAAAAGGAUUUUGAUAUUCAGAACCUCAUUAAGAGGUUCCCCUCAUCUUUGGAUAGAGACCAAAAUGAUACUUUCAAGUCCUCAUCUUUGGAUAGAGACCAAAAUGAUACUUUCAAAAAGCCUGACAGGUUUCUCCGGAAAAGUGGCCAUCCAUGGAAUGAAUGAAAUGUUCCCUUUCUAUUCCAGCACACAUCGUGGGUGUCUUGUCUCCCUGUUUCCCUGAAAUAAUUUGAUUUGAAAAAGAAGAUGUUUGGAGACGACAGUAGGGUAAAAGAACGUUUCCUCCAACAGAAAUUCUCCUUCCUUCUCUGCCUACAAGUCCUCAAGGGGAAGGAAUGGUGUGUACUGAAGUAACAGACCUCUGUUGACCAAAGCUGCUGGGAAGAUAAAUGAAGAAAGGAAUAUAAAGCACUUAGUACAUGUAAUCGCUACCCCCAACAUGGGGCUAGAACCCAUGAUCCCGGAGAUUAAGAGGCGCACACUCUUCGGAUUGAGCCAAGCAGGCUCAUAACAAGAAAAUUUUAAAAGACGCCAUCGAUGAACGCGCCCCUAGGCCUUGUUCCCGGCUCCUCCAACUCUCCUCUUAGUCCUAGAAACACACCUGUCUCUAGAACCAGGUGUCCGCCUUGGCAUAAAACAAAGGCCCGGGGAAUCUGAGAGUUCCCGUUUCCCGCCAGGGGAUUGCAGUGGCAAAGCUAGGCUAGGUCUUGGAGGCUGGUGUAAGGCGAAGCGGGUGAAGGCAGGAGGCUGAUGGAGAGACUGGGGGGAAGAAAAGCCGAAAUGGAUUCACGGUGCCUUGGAUGGAGGACGAGAGGGGAACUGCAAGCUCCUUCAACUCGUUCUGUCCGGUGAGAAGUGAUCAAGCUUGGGCUGACAAGAGGCUCAGGAAGCCCUCACGUUCUUUCGCUUUUUUACCUGCCAAUCAAACUGCUACAAGACAACACCCUGAUCUGGCAUGGACAUCGCGGGUCCAAGCCUGUAGUCCCAAAUCGGAUAUCUCUGCAGCUGAUAACGAGCAAAAGAGAAGCCAGGCAACAGCCAUAUUAAAGAAGAAAACAGUCAACUCUGAGGAUGCCACCCUGAAAGUUUUAUUUUCUCCAGGAAGGUACAGUUGUCUUUGAGAGUCCUAGCCUGUGAACACAGUCUGUAAAUAUGAUCAUCAAGCAAGACGGAGCUGCCAAGAGGGAAGAUUUUGAAUGUUUCUCUCUCCUACAACCCUUCCCAGCGCCCCUCUUCCUUCCGGGGGUGCUUCCCUCUGUUUUCCCCUUUCCCCAGCACUGUUGAAAAUGGCUCCCAAGCAACACCUCGGUAGCUAAACCAAUUGUCCUGGGAAGUUGUUGAGCUGGCAUUUCAUCUGAGUCCUUUGUAAAAAUUAGAUUUUCUUUGAGUAGGGACGAGUGUCCUUUUGCAAGAGGGGACAAGGGAGAGUCCAAGCAGAGGGGGAGGGGAUGAGCAGUUUAUACACAUAUAUACUCUUUGUGUUCAAAGGCCUCCGUGUCUUGGCUUCUCACUAUGUUAAAUCCCUAUUAUAAAACUUAUCUUCACAAAGCCUAUUAUAGUAUUCUGAGAACAAAUUGGACCAUGAAUAACUUAGUUGGAAGUGUAGAUUAUUUUCUGCUCAGGGAAAGUUAGAGAUGACAACAGCUUAACUAAAAGAAUAGUGAUUAAUCUUAAAUAGAUGGAUUUCAAAGUUUCACUCUUGCUAAAGAGUACCUUUGAUAUUUCCCCUCUUCAGACUCAUGUUUCCACUUUCUUUGUAUUAAGAAUUGUCCCAGUGAUUACACUGUCCACCUAAGACAGCAUGACUCUAACUGUAGACCUUUUUCUUACAGGUUGUUAAUCUGUCAGAGAGGUGAGCAGAAAGACACUCUACUGUUGAUUAAGGAUAUGGUUCCAAAGUGUUACCUGUGCUGAGACAUCAAACUCUCUGUUAGAAAUAAUAUCUGGCAUAAAUCAAAAUUUCUCAAUUAGACAAAAUUAUUUAAAAACUUGUUAAGUUUGUUUAAUGCUCUCCAGCUUACAGAACACUUCUUAGUUCGUAAUUGUGUUUGAUCCUUAGAAGACUGUUAUGAUAUAAACAAAUAGCAUUAAUCUCAUUUUGCCAAGGAGUACGCUGAGUCACUUGCAUGCUGUGAUCCAGCUGAUAGCUGGAAGAACUGGGCUACCAACUCAGAUUUUAUAGCUUCUGUUUUAAGUGAUUAACCUAUAGCCAUUGGCAUUUAAAUCCUUUUUGUGUCCUACUCCCUAAAAAUUAAGAUUUUUUUUUUUUUGUAUUAAGGAGCAAAGUUUUUCUAUUUCACAAAUAUAGAAGUUAAAAGACCAGACUGGGAAAAAUUCUAUUCCCUGAAAAGUAAAUGUCAUGAAUUAUGAUUUUGCUUUGUGUGUGUGUGCGCAUGUGCAAGCGUGUGUAUAUGUGUGUUUCAAUAGUCUUUCAGAGAUGAAAGUCUUAAUUUCUAAAAGCCAAAAUGGGCAUCCCUAUAUAAAUUAAUAACUGCCUGGAAUUUUUAAAAUGUACUUGAAAACCAUAAAUUGUUUCAAAAUAGAAUAUAAUGACAAAUAAGCCUUUAGAAGCAUGAUCUGCCUAUAAAGUACUUGAGAGCAUGGCACUGAUUAAGUUCUAGGGUGCUAUAAGUGAGGUUCCCCCCCUUUUUUUUCAGUUUCAUUGAGAUAAAUUUGACAAAGUAGUAAGACAUUUAAAGUAUAUUUGAUAAACAUAAACAUUGUAUAAGUAUUCCUCCUGUCUGGUUAAUUAAAACAUCUAUCACUGCACAUGUUUGCCCUUUUUUUUUUUUUUUUUUUGGUGAGAACAUGUAAGUUUUACUCUCUUGACCAAACUCAAUUAUUCAUUGCAGUGUUAUCGAUUAUAGUCACCAUGUUAACCAUUAGAUCCCUAGGCCAUAUUCAUCUGAUAGCUGAAAGUUUCUACCCGUUUAUCAAUCUCUUCCUAACUCCUUUAUUCCUCAACCCCUGUCCUUCUAGUUUUUAUAGACCACUAUCUUUUAACAUUUUAGCAAGUUGGAAGAACAAAGUUGUAUAGGACUACUUUUGUUUCUCUUUGGUUUUUACGAUUCAUAUUUUUUAAAAAGUUUGCAAAGUACUCUAGGAAUAAUAAAUAAAAUGUUUAGUUAACUUGC